CGUAUCAGACUGCGGUAGUGUUCGAUUUUGAAUACUGCUGUGGAAAGUUUAGUGAACCUUAUCACUUAGAGGAAGGAGAAGUCGUAACAAGGUUUCCGUAGGUGAACCUGCGGAAGGAUCAUUC
rnacentral:rRNA from 1 species